rnacentral:misc_RNA from 1 species
CAACCCUCAAGCCUGGCUUGGUGUUGGGGCAUGCCUGUGGGCAGCCCUUAAAAUUAGUGGCGGUGCUAUUUUGCUCUGAGCGUAGUAAUUUCUCUCGCUAUAGGGUCUCUGUAGACACUUGCCAACAACCUAAACUUUCUAUGGU